AUAUAUGGUACUCGUACCGUAAACCGACACAGGUAGUCGGGAAGAAGAUUCUAAGGUGCUCGAGUGAAUCAUGGCUAAGGAACUCGGCAAAUUAACCCUGUAACUUCGGGAGAAGGGGUGCCACCAGCAAUGGUGGUCGCAGAGAAAUGGCCCAGGCGACUGUUUAACAAAAACACAUGGCUAUGCGAAAUCGCAAGAUGAAGUAUAUGGCCUGACACCUGCCCGGUGCUGGAAGGUUAAGGGGGGAAGUUAGUGCGCAAGCGCGAAGCUUUGAACUGAAGCCCCAGUAAACGGUGCCGUAACUAUAACGGUCCUAAGGUAGCGAAAUUCCUUGUCGGGUAAGUUCCGACCUGCACGAAUGGUGUAACGAUCUGGGCGCUGUCUCAGCCACGAGCUCGGUGAAAUUGUAGUCACGGUGAAGAUGCCGUGUACCCGUCACGGGACGGAAAGACCCCGUGCACCUUUACUAUAGCUUCACAUUGGGAUUGGGAGAAUGAUGUGUAGGAUAGGCGGGAGGCAAUAUCCUGCGGCGCUAGCUGUAGGGGAGUCAACGGUGAAAUACCGCCCUUUAUUUUCUUGAUUCCUAACCACGAUUUAAUUGUGGGACAUUGUGUGGUGGGUAGUUUGACUGGGGUGGUCGCCUCCGAAAGUGUAUCGGAGGCUUUCAAAGGUACCCUCAGUACGGUUGGUAAUCGUACGCGGAGUGCAAUAGCAUAAGGGUGCUUGACUGUGAGACUGACAAGUCGAGCAGGGACGAAAGUCGAUAUAGUGAUCCGGUGGUUCUGCAUGGAAGGGCCAUCGCUCAAAGGAUAAAAGGUACGCCCGGGAUAACAGGCUGAUCUCCCCCAAGAGCUCAUAUCGACGGGGAGGUUUGGCACCUCGAUGUCGGCUCGUCACAUCCUGGGGCUGGAGAAGGUCCCAAGGGUUGGGCUGUUCGCCCAUUAAAGUGGCACGCGAGCUGGGUUCAGAACGUCGUGAGACAGUUCGGUCCCUAUCUGUGAUGGGCGUAGGAAGUUUGAGAGGAUCUGACCUUAGUACGAGAGGACCGGGUUGGACUAACCGCUGGUGUACCGGUUGUAGUGCUAACUGCACUGCCGGGUAGCUAUGUUGGGACGGGAUAAGCGCUGAAAGCAUCUAAGCGCGAAACCCACCUCGAGAUGAGACUUCCAUUAAGGGACGUCAGAGAUGAUGACGUUGAUAGGCUACAGGUGUAAAGACAGUAAUGUCAAAGCUGAGUAGUACUAAUUACCCGAAAAAUGAAAAAA
rnacentral:rRNA from 1 species